UACGUAGGGUGCAAGCGUUAAUCGGAAUUACUGGGCGUAAAGCGUGCGCAGGCGGUUGUGCAAGACCGAUGUGAAAGCCCCGGGCUUAACCUGGGAACGGCAUUGGUGACUGCACGGCUAGAGUGUGUCAGAGGGGGGUAGAAUUCCACGUGUAGCAGUGAAAUGCGUAGAGAUGUGGAGGAAUACCGAUGGCGAAGGCAGCCCCCUGGGAUGGACACUGACGCUCAUGCACGAAAGCGUGGGGAGCAAACAGG
rnacentral:rRNA from 1 species